GAUGAAGAACGUAGCGAAAUGCGAUAAGUAGUGUGAAUUGCAGAAUUCAGUGAAUCAUCGAAUCUUUGAACGCACAUUGCGCCCCUUGGUAUCCCGAGGGGCAUGCCUGUUCGAGCGUCAUUUCACCACUCAAGCCUGGCUUGGUGUUGGGCGACGUCCUCUUUGGGGACGCGCCUCGAAACGCUCGGCGGCGUGGCACCGGCUUUAAGCGUAGCAGAAUCUUUCGCUUUGGAAGUCGGGGCCCCGUCUGCCGGAAGACCUGCUCGCAAGGUUGACCUCGGAUCAGGCAGGGAUACUCGCUGAACUUAAGCAUAUCAAUAAGCGGAGGA
rnacentral:misc_RNA from 1 species